rnacentral:rRNA from 1 species
AUAACUUACGGGAAACCGGAGCUAAUACCGGAUAAUAUAUUGAACCGCAUGGUUCAAUAGUUAAAGACGGUUUUGCUGUCACUUAUAGAUGGAUCCGCGCCGCAUUAGCUAGUUGGUAAGGUAACGGCUUACCAAGGCAACGAUGCGUAGCCGACCUGAGAGGGUGAUCGGCCACACUGGAACUGAGACACGGUCCGAGACUCCUACGGGAGGGCAGCAGCC